UUCCGGUUGAUCCCGCCGGACCUGACUGCUAUCGGAUUGAUACUAAGCCAUGCGAGUCUUUGCAGUAAUGCAAGGCAUACGGCUCAGUAACACGUAGUCAACUUACCCUAUGGACGAGGAUAAUCUCGGGAAACUGAGCAUAAUACUCGAUAGAUCAUAAUGCCUGGAAUGGUUUAUGGUUGAAAUGAUUCGUCGCCAUAGGAUGGGACUGCGGCCUAUCAGCUUGUUGGUGAGGUAAUGGCCCACCAAGGCGAUUACAGGUACGGGCUCUGAGAGGAGAAGCCCGGAGAUGGGUACUGAGACAAGGACCCAGGCCCUAUGGGGCGCAGCAGGCGAGAAAACUUUGCAAUGUGCGAAAGCACGACAAGGUUAAUCCGAGUGAUUUCUGCUAAAGAAAUCUUUUGCAAGUCAUAAAACCACUAGUGAAUAAGGGGUGGGCAAGUUCUGGUGUCAGCCGCCGCGGUAAAACCAGCACCUCAAGUGGUCAGGAGGAUUAUUGGGCCUAAAGCAUCCGUAGCCGGCUCUGUAAGUUUUCGGUUAAAUCCAUGUGCUCAACGCAUGGGCUGCCGAAAAUACUGCAUAGCUAGGGAGUGGGAGAGGUAGACGGUACUCAGUAGGAAGGGGUAAAAUCCUUUGAUCUAUUGAUGACCACCUGUGGCGAAGGCGGUCUACCAGAACACGUUCGACGGUGAGGGAUGAAAGCUGGGGGAGCAAACCGGAUUAGAUACCCGGGUAGUCCCAGCUGUAAACGAUGCAGACUCGAUGAUGCAUUGGCAUAUAGCCAGUGCAGUGUCGCAGGGAAGCCGUUAAGUCUGCCGCCUGGGAAGUACGUACGCAAGUAUGAAACUUAAAGGAAUUGGCGGGGGAGCACCACAAGGGGUGAAGCCUGCGGUUCAAUUGGAUUCAACGCCGGG
rnacentral:rRNA from 1 species